rnacentral:rRNA from 1 species
ACUGUUUUUGUUUUUGUAUUUAAUUAGACUACAUAAGUAGUACCUUUUGUAUCAGGGUUAUUCAAUUAAAUAAAUAAUUUAUAUUUCUCGAUAUUAAGUAAGUUAAAUAAAAUGUUAUAUGUUAAAUAAUUAUACAAAUUUAUUUAGUAGUGAAAAUUUUUCGUAGUUAAAGAUAUCUUGUUAUUAAGGUUUAAGUAAAAAGGGAUUAGCUUUUUUUAUACCUAAAUUUUUAUGUUUGUGUGAUAAAUUAGGCUUAAGAGUAGCUAUAUUAAUAAUUUGUUUUAAAAUUUUUAUGUAGAAUAUAUUAAUAAUUAGUAUAUUUUAAAUAAUUUAAUUUUAUUUAAUGGUUUUAUUUAAAAUGAAUGAAUUAGUAUUUUUUUUUUCUGUAAAAUAGAACUCGUGUAUUAUAGAAUAGUUUAUCAAAAACAUUUUUUUAUUUUUAUAAAGUAAGGCCUGCCCAGUGUGGUAUAAACGGCUGCGGUAUUUUGACUGUGCUAAGGUAGCAUAAUAAUUUGUUUUUUAAUUGUAAACUGGAAUGAAAGGUUUUAUCUAUAAUUUAUUUAAUUUAUAGAAAGAAUAAUUUAUAUUUGUGGUAAAAAUACCACAAUUUUGUAAAGUGACGAUAAGACCCUAUAAGCUUUAUUUAUUUAAUAAAUAAAAUUAACUAUUUAAUAUUUUUUUAUUAGUUGAAUUUUACUGGGGCAGUAAUAUUAUUUAAAUUAAUAUAUUUUAAACAUAAAUUAAUGAAGAUAAGAUCUUUUAGUAAAGAAAGUUGAUAAGUUACUGUAGGGAUAACAGCGCAAUAAUUUUGGAGAGGUCUUAUUUAUAAAAUUGAUUGCGACCUCGAUGUUGAAUUAAAAUUUCUUUUUGUCGCAGCAGGCAAGAUAGAAGGUUUGUUCAACCUUUAAAUUUUUACAUGAUUUGAGUUCAAAUCGGUUUAAGCCAGAUUGGUUUCUAUCUUUUAUAAAUUAAUAUUUAUGUAAGUACGAAAGGGACACAUAAAUUUU